rnacentral:rRNA from 2 species
UUAAGCGACUAAGCGUACACGGUGGAUGCCCUGGCAGUCAGAGGCGAUGAAGGACGUGCUAAUCUGCGAUAAGCGUCGGUAAGGUGAUAUGAACCGUUAUAACCGGCGAUUUCCGAAUGGGGAAACCCAGUGUGUUUCGACACACUAUCAUUAACUGAAUCCAUAGGUUAAUGAGGCGAACCGGGGGAACUGAAACAUCUAAGUACCCCGAGGAAAAGAAAUCAACCGAGAUUCCCCCAGUAGCGGCGAGCGAACGGGGAGGAGCCCAGAGCCUGAAUCAGUGUGUGUGUUAGUGGAAGCGUCUGGAAAGGCGUGCGAUACAGGGUGACAGCCCCGUACACAAAAAUGCACAUACUGUGAGCUCGAUGAGUAGGGCGGGACACGUGGUAUCCUGUCUGAAUAUGGGGGGACCAUCCUCCAAGGCUAAAUACUCCUGACUGACCGAUAGUGAACCAGUACCGUGAGGGAAAGGCGAAAAGAACCCCGGCGAGGGGAGUGAAAAAGAACCUGAAACCGUGUACGUACAAGCAGUGGGAGCCUCUUUAUGGGGUGACUGCGUACCUUUUGUAUAAUGGGUCAGCGACUUAUAUUCUGUAGCAAGGUUAACCGAAUAGGGGAGCCGAAGGGAAACCGAGUCUUAACUGGGCGUUAAGUUGCAGGGUAUAGACCCGAAACCCGGUGAUCUAGCCAUGGGCAGGUUGAAGGUUGGGUAACACUAACUGGAGGACCGAACCGACUAAUGUUGAAAAAUUAGCGGAUGACUUGUGGCUGGGGGUGAAAGGCCAAUCAAACCGGGAGAUAGCUGGUUCUCCCCGAAAGCUAUUUAGGUAGCGCCUCGUGAAUUCAUCUCCGGGGGUAGAGCACUGUUUCGGCAAGGGGGUCAUCCCGACUUACCAACCCGAUGCAAACUGCGAAUACCGGAGAAUGUUAUCACGGGAGACACACGGCGGGUGCUAACGUCCGUCGUGAAGAGGGAAACAACCCAGACCGCCAGCUAAGGUCCCAAAGUCAUGGUUAAGUGGGAAACGAUGUGGGAAGGCCCAGACAGCCAGGAUGUUGGCUUAGAAGCAGCCAUCAUUUAAAGAAAGCGUAAUAGCUCACUGGUCGAGUCGGCCUGCGCGGAAGAUGUAACGGGGCUAAACCAUGCACCGAAGCUGCGGCAGCGACGCUUAUGCGUUGUUGGGUAGGGGAGCGUUCUGUAAGCCUGCGAAGGUGUACUGUGAGGUAUGCUGGAGGUAUCAGAAGUGCGAAUGCUGACAUAAGUAACGAUAAAGCGGGUGAAAAGCCCGCUCGCCGGAAGACCAAGGGUUCCUGUCCAACGUUAAUCGGGGCAGGGUGAGUCGACCCCUAAGGCGAGGCCGAAAGGCGUAGUCGAUGGGAAACAGGUUAAUAUUCCUGUACUUGGUGUUACUGCGAAGGGGGGACGGAGAAGGCUAUGUUGGCCGGGCGACGGUUGUCCCGGUUUAAGCGUGUAGGCUGGUUUUCCAGGCAAAUCCGGAAAAUCAAGGCUGAGGCGUGAUGACGAGGCACUACGGUGCUGAAGCAACAAAUGCCCUGCUUCCAGGAAAAGCCUCUAAGCAUCAGGUAACAUCAAAUCGUACCCCAAACCGACACAGGUGGUCAGGUAGAGAAUACCAAGGCGCUUGAGAGAACUCGGGUGAAGGAACUAGGCAAAAUGGUGCCGUAACUUCGGGAGAAGGCACGCUGAUACGUAGGUGAAGUCCCUUGCGGAUGGAGCUGAAAUCAGUCGAAGAUACCAGCUGGCUGCAACUGUUUAUUAAAAACACAGCACUGUGCAAACACGAAAGUGGACGUAUACGGUGUGACGCCUGCCCGGUGCCGGAAGGUUAAUUGAUGGGGUUAGCGGUAACGCGAAGCUCUUGAUCGAAGCCCCGGUAAACGGCGGCCGUAACUAUAACGGUCCUAAGGUAGCGAAAUUCCUUGUCGGGUAAGUUCCGACCUGCACGAAUGGCGUAAUGAUGGCCAGGCUGUCUCCACCCGAGACUCAGUGAAAUUGAACUCGCUGUGAAGAUGCAGUGUACCCGCGGCAAGACGGAAAGACCCCGUGAACCUUUACUAUAGCUUGACACUGAACAUUGAGCCUUGAUGUGUAGGAUAGGUGGGAGGCUUUGAAGUGUGGACGCCAGUCUGCAUGGAGCCGACCUUGAAAUACCACCCUUUAAUGUUUGAUGUUCUAACGUUGGCCCCUAAUCGGGGUUGCGGACAGUGUCUGGUGGGUAGUUUGACUGGGGCGGUCUCCUCCUAAAGAGUAACGGAGGAGCACGAAGGUUGGCUAAUCCUGGUCGGACAUCAGGAGGUUAGUGCAAUGGCAUAAGCCAGCUUGACUGCGAGCGUGACGGCGCGAGCAGGUGCGAAAGCAGGUCAUAGUGAUCCGGUGGUUCUGAAUGGAAGGGCCAUCGCUCAACGGAUAAAAGGUACUCCGGGGAUAACAGGCUGAUACCGCCCAAGAGUUCAUAUCGACGGCGGUGUUUGGCACCUCGAUGUCGGCUCAUCACAUCCUGGGGCUGAAGUAGGUCCCAAGGGUAUGGCUGUUCGCCAUUUAAAGUGGUACGCGAGCUGGGUUUAGAACGUCGUGAGACAGUUCGGUCCCUAUCUGCCGUGGGCGCUGGAGAACUGAGGGGGGCUGCUCCUAGUACGAGAGGACCGGAGUGGACGCAUCACUGGUGUUCGGGUUGUCAUGCCAAUGGCACUGCCCGGUAGCUAAAUGCGGAAGAGAUAAGUGCUGAAAGCAUCUAAGCACGAAACUUGCCCCGAGAUGAGUUCUCCCUGACUCCUUGAGAGUCCUGAAGGAACGUUGAAGACGACGACGUUGAUAGGCCGGGUGUGUAAGCGCAGCGAUGCGUUGAGCUAACCGGUACUAAUGAACCGUGAGGCUUAACCUU